GACGGAGGGGGCAAGCGUUGUCCGGACUCACUGGGCGUAAAGGGUGCGUAGGCGGUUUGGUGCGUCGGCGCUGAAAUCCGUGGGCUUAACCCACGGGCGCGUGCCGAUACGACUUGACUUGAGGCUCGGAGAGGGUGGGAGAACUCCUGGUGUAGUGGUGAAAUGCGUAGAGAUCAGGAAGAAUACCUGUGGCGGCAAGCGCCCACCCUG
rnacentral:rRNA from 1 species